rnacentral:rRNA from 1 species
AUUGAACGCUGGCGGCAUGCCUUACACAUGCAAGUCGAACGGCAGCACGGACUUCGGUCUGGUGGCGAGUGGCGAACGGGUGAGUAAUGUAUCGGAACGUACCUUUCAGUGGGAGAUAACGUAGCGAAAGUUACGCUAAUACCGCAUAUUCUGUGAGCAGGAAAGCAGGGGAUCGCAAGAACUUGCGCUGAUUGAGCGGCCGAUAUCAGAUUAGCUAGUUGGUGAGGUAAAGGCUCACCAAGGCGACGAUCUGUAGCGGGUCUGAGAGGAUGAGCCUCCACACUGGAACUGAGACACGGUCCAGACUCCUAAGGGAGGCAGCAGUGGGGAAUUUUGGACAAUGGGGGCAACCCUGAUCCAGCCAUGCCGCGUGAGUGAAGAAGGCCUUCGGGUUGUAAAGCUCUUUCGGCCGGGAAGAAAUCGCAUAGGUUAAUACCCUGUGUGGAUGACGGUACCGGAAUAAGAAGCACCGGCUAACUACGUGCCAGCAGCCGCGGUAAAAC